UGGGGUAAUUUUCCGCAAUGGGCGAAAGCCUGACGGAGCAAUGCCGCGUGGAGGUGGAAGGCCUACGGGUCGUCAACUUCUUUUCUCGGAGAAGAAACAAUGACGGUAUCUGAGGAAUAAGCAUCGGCUAACUCUGUGCCUG
rnacentral:rRNA from 1 species